rnacentral:rRNA from 1 species
CACGUAGGGUGCGAGCGUUGUCCGGAAUUAUUGGGCGUAAAGAGCUCGUAGGCGGUGUGUCGCGUCGGCCGUGAAAACCUGCAGCUUAACUGUGGGCUUGCGGUCGAUACGGGCAUCACUGGAGUUCGGUAGGGGAGAAUGGAAUUCCUGGUGUAGCGGUGAAAUGCGCAGAUAUCAGGAGGAACACCGGUGGCGAAGGCGGUUCUCUGGGCCUUACCUGACACUGAGGAGCGAAAGCGUGGGGAGCGAACAGG